GGAAUAUUGCACAAUGGGCGCAAGCCUGAUGCAGCCAUGCCGCGUGUGUGAAGAAGGCCUUAGGGUUGUAAAGCACUUUCAGCGAGGAGGAAGGCAUCACACUUAAUACGUGUGGUGAUUGACGUUACUCGCAGAAGAAGCACCGGCUAACUCCGUGCCAGCAGCCGCGGUAAUACGGAGGGUGCAAGCGUUAAUCGGAAUUACUGGGCGUAAAGCGCACGCAGGCGGUUUGUUAAGUCAGAUGUGAAAUCCCCGAGCUUAACUUGGGAACUGCAUUUGAAACUGGCAAGCUAGAGUCUUGUAGAGGGGGGUAGAAUUCCAGGUGUAGCGGUGAAAUGCGUAGAGAUCUGGAGGAAUACCGGUGGCGAAGGCGGCCCCCUGGACAAAGACUGACGCUCAGGCGCGAAAGCGUGGGGAGCAAACAGGAUUAGAUACCCCGG
rnacentral:rRNA from 1 species